UAUAAAAAAUUGUUGAUGCAGAAUUUACCGUUUGUCACAUUGUUAAUGUGUGAUGGAGCGAGAGAGAAGGCAUGCGAGAGAAAAAAGGUAGAGAGUGACAAAUCCUGAGCAUCCUGAUUGGCCCUUUCCAUAUGCUGAUGUAACCCUGGUAAAAUAAGCACUCUUUGGGUAAAGCCAUUCUGAGGAGCCUGUGUGUAGACCCCUCCCACUUUUCCCUCUCUCCCACUCUCCCCUCUCUCCACCCCCCCUCUUCUCUCUCUACCUUGCUCUCUCCCAGCGUGUGGGUGCUGCACGGAGCUGGAGAUAAAUGUCCAUUUUGUGUGUGAGGAAAUACUGAGUAAAGACGCUGUUUAAACUGUACUACAGUGAUACACAAGUACCCUCGUUGGAGAUUUUUUAGUUAUCAACCGAGUUGGAUAAACUUUUGCGCUGUUUGAUUGAGGGAGACUCCGGUUGUUCUAAUAGACGGGAGAAACGAGUGAACUUGUCAAAUCCAAGAUGGCGAGCCAACCCUGAAACUACGAUCCCCAGAAUCCUAUGCGAGCGUUUUCCCGCCACCCGAGCCCCAACGGCGCCUCGAGGAGGGAAACAGAUAAGAGGAGCAGAGUCACACACACACACUCUCUAAAAAAACGUAGUCUACCCGGGUAGUGAAGAGACUCACUUUUUCUGACAAUAGCAAACUCAAAUCAUAUAAAAAAAAAAAAAGAAGAAGAGACACGGACUAAAACAAACAUAAAAAAGGGGACUGUUGGGUUUUUUUAACAUUUAAAUGCUGUUUCACGAAGAAGAUUGUGAUUAGUCAAGGGCGUAGGAGCGGGCUUGAUAUUGGGGGGGGACACAUUUGCUAAUAUGAACCAAAGCCCACCCAAUAGUUUCCUAGAACAACAUUUGUGGAACUAUUUUUUAUCACAAAUAAUCUUUUUUUUUUUUUUUUAUAUAUAAGUUAACAUCCUAGAAAAGGUGACUUUACAACCUAAACAUGUUACUCCACGUUACAGUUAGUGUUGUUAGAAAAAAAAUAUGCAUGCAAUGUCUGAAUUAUAUACACAUCACAAAAACUGAUCAGUUAUCACCUAAUAUUUAAAAUAAUAUAACAUAUUAGGUAAUAAAGUAAGUGGUGGUAUGAUGUGUUUAAUACACUGCUGAUAUACAUAAUGAUUAAUUUAGUCUCCAUAGGGGGCUAAAGGAUUUUAACAGGUAAACUCAGUAAAGGACUGUUUAUAAAAUGAUCAGUUCAAUCUGAUGGAAAACACAAUUUUGGGGCAGUGAUCAGGAUUAAGAAACUGCUUUAAACUACCCACAUUACCCAGUGUUGUACUAAAUUCUAGCUAUCCCCUACAUCCAGCUUCUAGAUAACUAGUUAGCUAAAUUAAUUUUCGUUCAUUAUAGCUCACAGUAAGUCCUGUAAUCCUAAAUUAAUAAACACAGUUUGAAAAUGAAAUAGUGAUUAGCUGAUCAGGUACAGGGCAAGUUGAACCAUUACAUAUACAGUUUUUUUUUCUUUAACCUUGACUCCCAAUCUAGCUAAUUCCAAAGUUAAGCUAACUGACUAUACAGCUACAGUUUAUUAGUCACAGUGGGUUUAGUCUGUGUGCUGAUUCAGAGACGUGUAUUUUUAACCAGCUAUCACGCACGCUGCAAAAACAGCAAGCUGAUUGGCUGUUUCUCCUGAGAGGCGGAACUUAAUUCCUGAACCGGCUCCGUGAUUGGUCCGGUCUGUCUCCUCAUUAAUAGUACUGCUGAGCUGAGCGAAACAAUGUCAUUUUUGGGGGGGACAAAUCCACCUGUUUCUAAUAUUGGGUGGGACAUGUCCCACCCAUCCCCCCCGGUUCCUACGCCUAUGUGAUUAGUUAAUGAGUUCUGUAAGGGUUGUUGAGCAGAUUGUGUUCUGAUUUACUUGAUACUGCAUAGAUGCACUGUAUUUCCUUAUUUUGAGGUUUUGGAUUUUGUUUUGUUUAUUAACUCAUUCAGUGAAUUUACAGUAUUAAGCCCCAUUGAAUUAAGCCACAUCCCCUUUUUAUUAUUUUUUCUUUCCCCAUUUAAUUUCAUCCACACCCAUAUUCUCUUCAUAGUCACUAAAGGUACAUUUUAUUUAUUUUUGUUCUUUUAAUAAAUAACCUGCAUCUUGAACUCUGUAUAAAUAUCCCGGUCUGUUGUAUUUUAAUCAGAGCCCUCCGAGCGAAUCUAAAGAGUCUUCUGAUACUGGUCCAACCCCGGAUUUACUGCCUAUAUAUUUUUCUAUUGUAAUACUGUUGUAUAAAAUUUCUGAUAUUUUGUGAACUAGCUAAUGUGGCUGCUGCGUUGCACAUAACGAGUGCUGCACUUAGUUGGCCAAUGAGGUUUCAGUGUGGGUGGGACUUGCAGUGCCCCAGAACGGCUGAGAAAAAAACGUACAUGGUCGUUCCGGACGAGAGUAAAAUCACAGAGGACCCCCCCAUAAACUAUUUAAGGUUACCAAGUCAGAGAAAUGCAGCACACACACGGAUAUAAUGGAUUUUCAGAUAAAAUAUUAAAGAGUCGGUGUCAGAUCUUUACAAUUGGAUUUCAUUCAUAAUCCUGUUUCUUGAAUUGUGUUUUUUAAACUUUGAACACCUAUUGUGCUUUGUAGAUUAUCUUAAAGUACCGGUUUAAGUUGAAAAAAUCUUAAACACCAAUGCAAAAUUAAAAAAAAAUGAACAAGGAUAAAUUCUUUUUAAGGCUUUUAAGAUUGUUGAAUCUAAUUUUUUCAGUAGUUCAGAUAAUUUUUUU